rnacentral:rRNA from 1 species
UACGUAGGGUGCGAGCGUUAAUCGGAAUUACUGGGCGUAAAGCGUGCGCAGGCGGUUUUGUAAGUCAGAUGUGAAAUCCCCGGGCUUAACCUGGGAACUGCGUUUGAAACUACAAGGCUAGAGUGUGGCAGAGGGGGGUGGAAUUCCACGUGUAGCAGUGAAAUGCGUAGAGAUGUGGAGGAACACCGAUGGCGAAGGCAGCCCCGUGGGUUAACACUGACGCUCAGGCACGAAAGCGUGGGGAGCAAACAGG